rnacentral:sRNA from 1 species
UUCAAUGAGAGUGUCUUGCGAAUCAGCGA